AGUGAACGCUGGCGGUAGGCCUAACACAUGCAAGUCGAACGGCAGCACAGUAAGAGCUUGCUCUUACGGGUGGCGAGUGGCGGACGGGUGAGGAAUACAUCGGAAUCUACUUUUUCGUGGGGGAUAACGUAGGGAAACUUACGCUAAUACCGCAUACGACCUACGGGUGAAAGCAGGGGAUCUUCGGACCUUGCGCGAUUGAAUGAGCCGAUGUCGGAGUAGCUAGUUGGCGUGGUAAAGGCCCACCAAGGCGACGAUCCGUAGCUGGUCUGAGAGGGUGAUCAGCCACACUGGAACUGAGACACGGUCCAGACUCCUACGGGAGGCAGCAGUGGGGAAUAUUGGACAAUGGGCGCAAGCCUGAUCCAGCCAUACCGCGUGGGUGAAGAAGGCCUUCGGGUUGUAAAGCCCUUUUGUUGGGAAAGAAAAGCAGCAGGUUAAUACCCCGCUGUUCUGACGGUACCCAAAGAAUAAGCACCGGCUAACUUCGUG
rnacentral:rRNA from 1 species